GUUAAUCUGGGGUCUAUUUUAUUAGUAAAGUCAUAAACCUUUCAGAAAAGCCCUACAGAGCAGGCUAGGGCUGAGGCCAGUGGUUUCUGUAGAGGCUCAGAACAUUUACAGGACCAUGUUAGGAGUGAAUAUGGUUGUUGGAGAUGAAAGAGGGUUCGGCCAGACUACCACCACAGGACUGUCAGAGAGCUUUAUCUCUUCUGCAAGGUUGCGUGCACCACCCGUACAUUUCAGCAGUGGGUGUACCGCUCCUAAGAACUUUGGAACGGUUCAUUAAGCUCGCAGGAAUGUUAUCAUUUUCCAUAAAGUUUGAUAGGAUUUUCCAGGACCUGUGAUGCUUCAGCGUAAUGCAUUCUUGGCUAUCAACAGCCAUCUUGGGCCCCACGAGAGUGCUCUGCAGGAACUACAAAAAGGUUUUAAACAUACAUUUUGAUUUACAGCAACAGUGAUUUCCCCCCUCCUUGUGACUGGGGUGGGGAUCCAGAACAUAUUUCUGGGCUUCGUUCAAUUUCCACGUUCCCUUUCCCAAUCACUUUUGAAACCAUGUUGUUCGCUCAGCCUUAACUUUAGGUUAACCCAUGCUCACACCAGGCCUGCCCUGUCCUCAGAAGAGCUGCCAUCUCCAGUCUUUUAAGUUCCACCCAGUCUUUUCUGAGUGAGUAUAGCACUUAUUUGCAGCCUGUGUGGUGAAGGUAGUGGGAGCCUCUCAGUGGCCUUGGGAUCUGGUGGUUACAGAGCCAGCAGCAGCAAUCAGUGCCUGAAGUCUCCAGUUUAAUCACAGAUGGUUGGCAAGGGCAGGCUAACCUUCACUACACCUCACUGCUGGUCUGGGAAUGCCUUCUUUCAUCUUGAGAGGACAGAUCAAUCCAGAACCUUGCUGGGACUUCCACCCUCAUGCUUCCAGCCUCCAGUGAAACUUGGGUGCAGUGCUGGCAGUAGGGACAAUUACUGUCUCGGGCUACCCGGUAACCCUGACGCUGCUGGGAUGCACAGCAGAGCACUCAGCGUUUCAGGCAGGUAAGUGCUGUAUAUAUGACUUCAUGUUGUCUGUCUGACCAGAAAUGCCAUUGGCAACAGCC
rnacentral:lncRNA from 1 species